GCCUUGGUGUAAACAUGAUGGUGAUCCGAAAUCUGAACGUCAAUUUUCAUGAUUAUUUCACGACGAAGAUCAUCACAUCAAUGAAUCAAAUAAUACGGACAUGCCUUUGGUAUUAGCAGGGUGCUUUCAGGAUAUGCAACAAUACUUUCAUCUGUGAAUACCCACUUUCUAAGCCCACCAUGAACUACGAGCGGAAGGUCAAUUAAUAUGUAAGGACACCAAUGAACAGACACUUUCCAAUUAUCCUACAUCAUAUACAUGGGUGGUCAAACUCACUGGAUGGUUUAUCAACACUUCCAUGAUCUUGCGCCAGGAAUUUUGCCCUGAAGUAACAUUGCAGUCUAUUGUCUCAUUUCUUUUUACAACCCUGGCAGCCAUGCAGGAUAGAAGCUGAUCACUUGUACUUGACAGCAAAUAAUAAUGUCUUGGACAAGUCAAAGAAUUUCCUCCCGUCUUACAGAGAAAUGACAGUUGAUAAAAGAAUGGUGGACACAAAGUAAAAGUGCUCUUCAACAUUUUGUUGAAGAUUUCAGUCUGAUUUUGAAUUCAUCUUGCAAUAUUUCUGUAUUUGUAUAUUUGGAUAUAAGCGUCAAAUUUUCAACUUAUUGACUAAACAGUUUUGCAUUAAAUAUUGCCAAUGCUAUUUUUAUUAUUUCCCUCCAAGAUAACAUAUCAAGUCUUUAAUGUACCCCUUAAGCUCUG